rnacentral:rRNA from 1 species
CGGGUGAGUAAUGUAUCGGAACGUGCCCAGUCGUGGGGGGUAACUGCUCGAAAGAGCAGCUAAUACCGCAUACGACCUGAGGGUGAAAGCGGGGGAUCGCAAGACCUCGCGCGAUUGGAGCGGCCGAUAUCAGAUUAGGUAGUUGGUGAGGUAACGGCCUACCAAGCCGACGAUCAGUAGCCGACCUGAGAGGGUGACCGGCCACAUUGGGACUGAGACACGGCCCAG